rnacentral:misc_RNA from 1 species
UUCGGUAUCCUGUGUUGCUUACCUAUCGAAAGGAAUCCGACGGUUUCGUUGGUCCCUUUCCGCCCCAUGCCCUCGCGGGUGGUGGGGUGGACGUCAGGCAAGCCUCGUGUUCCCGGCACGCCUCGCCCAGUUGCGCGGCUGCCCAGGCCCACGGGGCGCAUUGCCCGUGCUCUCGGAUGCGGAACGUUACGCGCGGGCGCGGGGUCUUCUGGCUCCGUCGGCCCGAGCAACGCAUUUGUCCCUCGACACGAACGACCGUCGAACCCGUCUUGAGCGCGCGGCCGUACGGCCAGUCGGGUCUCAUGCGGGCGUCGGCGUCGCGAAGGAAUGCUACCUGGUUGAUCCUGCCAGUAGUCAUAUGCUUGUCUC